rnacentral:rRNA from 1 species
GAUGAACGCUGGCGGCGUGCCUAGUACAUGCAAGUCGAGCGAACAGAUGAGGAGCUUGCUCCUCUGACGUUAGCGGCGGACGGGUGAGUAACACGUGGAUAACCUACCUAUAAGACUGGGAUAACUUCGGGAAACCGGAGCUGAUACCGGAUAAUAUAUUGAACCGCAUGGUUCAAUAGUGAAAGACGGUUUUGCUGUCACUUAUAGAUGGAUCCGCGCCGCAUUAGCUAGUUGGUAAGGUAACGGCUUACCAAGGCAACGAUGCGUAGCCGACCUGAGAGGGUGAUCGGCCACACUGGAACUGAGACACGGUCCAGACUCCUACGGGAGGCAGCAGUAGGGAAUCUUCCGCAAUGGGCGAAAGCCUGACGGAGCAACGCCGCGUGAGUGAUGAAGGUCUUCGGAUCGUAAAACUCUGUUAUUAGGGAAGAACAAAUGUGUAAGUAACUAUGCACGUCUUGACGGUACCUAAUCAGAAAGCCACGGCUAACUACGUG